ACUGAACGCUGGCGGUAGGCCUAACACAUGCAAGUCGAACGCGAAAGUCCUUCGGGAUGAGUAGAGUGGCGGACGGGUGAGUAACGCGUAGGAAUCUAUCCUGUAGUGGGGGAGUAACGUUUCGAAAGGAACGCUAAUACCGCAUACGCCCCACCGGGGGAAAGCGGGGGAGUCUUCGGACCUCGUGCUAUAGGAGGAGCCUGCGUCGGAUUAGCUAGUUGGUGAGGUAAAGGCUCACCAAGGCGACGAUCCGUAGCUGGUCUGAGAGGAUGAUCAGCCACACCGGAACUGAGACACGGUCCGGACUCCUACGGGAGGCAGCAGUGGGGAAUAUUGCGCAAUGGGCGAAAGCCUGACGCAGCCAUACCGCGUGUGUGAAGAAGGCCUUCGGUU
rnacentral:rRNA from 1 species